AUUGAACGCUGGCGGCAGGCUUAACACAUGCAAGUCGAGCGGGGGAAGGUAGCUUGCUACUGGACCUAGCGGCGGACGGGUGAGUAAUGCUUAGGAAUCUGCCUAUUAGUGGGGGACAACAUCUCGAAAGGGAUGCUAAUACCGAAUACGUCCUACGGGAGAAAGCAGGGGAUCUUCGGACCUUGCGCUAAUAGAUGAGCCUAAGUCAGCUUAGCUAGUUGGUGGGGUAAAGGCCUACCAAGGCGACGAGCUGUAGCGGGUCUGAGAGUAUGAUCCGCCACACUGGGACUGAGACACGGCCCAGACUCCUACGGGAGGCAGCAGUGGGGAAUAUUGGACAAUGGGGGGAACCCUGAUCCAGCCAUGCCGCGUGUGUGAAGAAGGCCUUAUGGUUGUAAAGCACUUUAAGCGAGGAGGAGGCUACUUUAGUUAAUACCUAGAGAUAGUGGACGUUACUCGCAGAAUAAGCACCGGCUAACUCUGUGCCAGCCGCCGCAGUAA
rnacentral:rRNA from 1 species